rnacentral:rRNA from 1 species
GACAGAGGUGCCGAGCGUUAGGCGGAAUCACUGGGCUUAAAGCGUGUGUAGGCGGAUCUGUAAGUACCUUGUGAAAUCCCACGGCUCAACCGUGGAACUGCUUGGUAUACUGCGGGUCUUGAGCCACCUAGGGGCAAGUGGAACAAACGGUGGAGCGGUGAAAUGCGUAGAUAUUGUUUGGAACGCCAAUGGUGAAAACAACUUGCUGGGGGUGUGCUGACGCUGAGACACGAAAGCCAGGGGAGCAAACGGG